rnacentral:lncRNA from 1 species
AUGUGGAGGACAUGGACAGAUGGUUUCAAGAGGAAGAUGAAGGGACAUUGGACAUCUGUGUCACCUAUGAUCACACUUUGUAAAGCCUGUGCUGGGAGAAAUCUUGGAAGGAGUGCAUCAAAAUGAAAGGGGUAUAUAGAACCAGAUGAAGAAAACAAUUUCCUUGGAGAAAUACUAAACAUUGCAACCUUGCAUUGCAUUCAUCACUACAUGAGUUUUUGUUCAUAGUAACUAAUAUUCCUUUUCUAAUUCAGCAGAUGGAGAAAC